CAGUAGCCGCGGUAAUACAGAGGGUGCGAGCGUUAAUCGGAAUUACUGGGCGUAAAGCGCGCGUAGGUGGUUUGUUAAGUUGGAUGUGAAAGCCCCGGGCUCAACCUGGGAACUGCAUCCAAAACUGGCAAGCUAGAGUACGGUAGAGGGUGGUGGAAUUUCCUGUGUAGCGGUGAAAUGCGUAGAUAUAGGAAGGAACACCAGUGGCGAAGGCGACCACCUGGACUGAUACUGACACUGAGGUGCGAAAGCGUGGGGAGCAAACAGGAUUAGAGACCCCAGUAGUCCCUGUCUCUUAUAA
rnacentral:rRNA from 1 species